CCUACGGGAGGCAGCAGUGAGGAAUAUUGGUCAAUGGACGAAAGUCUGAACCAGCCAAGUAGCGUGCAGGAAGACGGCCCUCUGGGCUGUAAACUGCUUUUAGUUGGGAAUAAAAAGAGGGACGUGUCCCUUAUUGUAUGUACCAUCAGAAAAAGGACCGGCUAAUUCCGUGCCAGCAGC
rnacentral:rRNA from 1 species